GCAUAAUCAUUUGCCUCUUAAUUAGAGGAUUGUAUGAACGGAUAAACGAGACUUCUACUUUAUUCACCUUUUUAUGAAAUUUAAUAUUGAAGUGAAGAAGCUUCAAUCAAUCUGAAAGACAAGAAGACCCUAUUGAGCUUUCCCUCUAAUUUAUUUAUAUUAAUAUUUCGGGGGUUAGUUGGGGCAACUAUAAUUCACUAAAGCAAUAUUUCUAUUUAUAGACCUUAAGUCACCCUAAAGAUCCAUAUGAUCAAAAAAGAAGCUACCAUAGGGAUAACAGGCUAAUUUCUUUUAAAAGUACACAUCGACAAAGAAGUUUGGCACCUCGAUGUUGGCUUAGGGAACCCCUCAAGCGCAGCCGCUUGAAGGGGGGGCUUGUUCAUCCCAUAAAUCCCU
rnacentral:rRNA from 1 species